rnacentral:rRNA from 1 species
CGCGAACCCUCCGACCUUAGUUGCCUAGCAUCAGUUGGGCGACUCUAGAGAUACUGCCCCGGUUAACGGGAGGAAGGUGGGGAUGACGUCAAGUCCUCAUGGCCCUUAUGCCCAGGGCUACACACGUGCUACAAUGGGCGGUACAAAGGGUAGCGAUGCCGCGAGGUGAAGCCAAUCCCAAAAAGCCGUCCACAGUUCGGAUUGGAGUCUGCAACUCGACUCCAUGAAGCCGGAAUCGCUAGUAAUCGUGGAUCAGCAUGCCACGGUCGAAUACGUUCCGGGCCUU